UACGGAAGGGGCAAGCGUUGUUCGGAAUCAUUGGGCGUAAAGGGUGCGUAGGCGGCGCGGUAAGUCGGGUGUGAAAUCUCGGGGCUUAACUCCGAAACUGCAUUCGAUACUGCCGUGCUUGAGGACUGGAGAGGAGACUGGAAUUUACGGUGUAGCGGUGAAAUGCGUAGAUAUCGUAAGGAAGACCAGUGGCGAAGGCGGGGUCUCUGGACAGUUCCUGACGCUGAGGCACGAAGGCCAGGGGAGCAAACGGGG
rnacentral:rRNA from 1 species